rnacentral:rRNA from 1 species
GCGGAGGAAAAGAAACCAACAGGGAUUGCCCUAGUAACGGCGAGUGAAGCGGCAACAGCUCAAAUUUGAAAUCUGGCGCAAGCCCGAGUUGUAAUUUGUAGAGGAUGCUUCUGGGCAGCGGCCGUUCUAAGUUCCUUGGAACAGGACGUCAUAGAGGGUGAGAAUCCCGUAUGUGACCGGCACGUACCCUUUACGUAGCUCCUUCGACGAGUCGAGUUGUUUGGGAAUGCAGCUCUAAAUGGGAGGUAAAUUCCUUCUAAAGCUAAAUACCGGCCAGAGACCGAUAGCGCACAAGUAGAGUGAUCGAAAGAUGAAAAGCACUUUGGAAAGAGAGUUAAAAAGCACGUGAAAUUGUUGAAAGGGAAGCGCUUACAACCAGACUUCGUGGCGGUGUUCCGCCGGUCUUCUGACCGGUCUACUCGCCGCCGCGAGGCCAGCAUCGUCUGGGGCCGCCGGAUAAGACCUUAGGAAUGUAGCUUGCCUCGGUAAGUGUUAUAGCCUAGGGUGAUGCGGCGUGCCUCGGGCGAGGUCCGCGCUUCGGCAAGGAUGCUGGCGUAAUGGUUGUCAGCGGCCCGUCUUGAAACACGGACCAAGGAGUCUAACAUCUAUGCGAGUGUUCGGGUGUCAAACCCCUACGCGUAAUGAAAGUGAACGGAGGUGGGAAGCGCAAGCUGCACCAUCGACCGAUCCUGAUGUCCUCGGAUGGAUUUGAGUAAGAGCAUAGCUGUUGGGACCCGAAAGAUGGUGAACUAUGCCUGAAUAGGGUGAAGCCAGAGGAAACUCUGGUGGAGGCUCGCAGCGGUUCUGACGUGCAAAUCGAUCGUCAAAUUUGGGUAUAGGGGCGAAAGACUAAUCGAACCAUCUAGUAGCUGGUUCCUGCCGAA